UGGGGAAUAUUGCACAAUGGGCGAAAGCCUGAUGCAGCAACGCCGCGUGAGCGAUGAAGGUCUUCGGGUCGUAAAGCUCUGUCCUCAAGGAAGAUAAUGACGGUACUUGAGGAGGAAGCCCCGGCUAACUACGUGCCAGCAGCCGCGGUAAUACGUAGGGGGCUAGCGUUAUCCGGAAUUACUGGGCGUAAAGGGUGCGUAGGUGGUUUCUUAAGUCAGAGGUGAAAGGCUACGGCUCAACCGUAGUAAGCCUUUGAAACUGAGAAACUUGAGUGCGGGAGAGGAGAGUAGAAUUCCUAGUGUAGCGGUGAAAUGCGUAGAUAUUAGGAGGAAUACCAGUUGCGAAGGCGGCUCUCUGGACUGUAACUGACACUGAGGCACGAAAGCGUGGGGAGCAAACA
rnacentral:rRNA from 1 species